UGCCCUACGAUCACGCCGCCGAGAUCACCAAAGAGAAGCUCAAGAGGCUGGAGAACCCCGAUCAGAGAUUCCUCAAAUACGCGUCUCCUCAUCCAAUCCUCGCCUCUCACAACCACAUCUUGUCAGCUCCCGAGACACGUGUCACCACCUUGCCCAACGGCUUACGAGUCGCCACCGAAUCGAAUCUCUCCGCGAAGACCGCCACCGUCGGGGUGUGGAUCGACGCCGGAUCGAGGUUCGAGUCCGAUGAGACGAACGGGACGGCGCAUUUUCUGGAGCAUAUGAUAUUCAAAGGCACGGAGAGGCGUACGGUGAGGGCGUUGG
rnacentral:lncRNA from 1 species